rnacentral:rRNA from 1 species
UAGUCCCGUACACGAAAAUGCACAGGUUGUGAACUCGAAGAGUAGGGCGGGACACGUGGUAUCCUGUCUGAAUAUGGGGGGACCAUCCUCCAAGGCUAAAUACUCCUGACUGACCGAUAGUGAACCAGUACCGUGAGGGAAAGGCGAAAAGAACCCCGGCGAGGGGAGUGAAAAAGAACCUGAAACCGUGUACGUACAAGCAGUGGGAGCACCUUCGGGUGUGACUGCGUACCUUUUGUAUAAUGGGUCAGCGACUUAUAUUCUGUAGCAAGGUUAACCGUAUAGGGGAGCCGAAGGGAAACCGAGUCUUAACUGGGCGUUAAGUUGCAGGGUAUAGACCCGAAACCCGGUGAUCUAGCCAUGGGCAGGUUGAAGGUUGGGUAACACUAACUGGAGGACCGAACCGACUAAUGUUGAAAAAUUAGCGGAUGACCUGUGGCUGGGGGUGAAAGGCCAAUCAAACCGGGAGAUAGCUGGUUCUCCCCGAAAGCUAUUUAGGUAGCGCCUCGUGAACUCAUCUUCGGGGGUAGAGCACUGUUUCGGCUAGGGGGCCAUCCCGGCUUACCAACCCGAUGCAAACUACGAAUACCGAAGAAUGUUAUCACGGGAGACACACGGCGGGUGCUAACGUCCGUCGUGAAGAGGGAAACAACCCAGACCGCCAGCUAAGGUCCCAAAGUCAUGGUUAAGUGGGAAACGAUGUGGGAAGGCACAGACAGCCAGGAUGUUGGCUUAGAAGCAGCCAUCAUUUAAAGAAAGCGUAAUAGCUCACUGGUCGAGUCGGCCUGCGCGGAAGAUGUAACGGGGCUAAACCAUGCACCGAAGCUGCGGCAGCG